CUAGUAACUGCAGGUGCCUCUGGGAAACAGAGGCUCAGGUCUUCACUGCCUUCUGCAACACACCCAGGCAGUCUCUUCCCAGCAGGUGCAGCCAGGAGGUCACCCAACGUUUCUUUCCAUCAGAUGGGAGACAGAACCAUGCUGGGUCCCCUUGCCAUCCUGUGUGCUCUCCUGUUUCCCGGCGGUGGAGCAGGGCUCAAGCUGAGUCAGACUGCUUUAUUGGUGGCACGCGUGGGCAGUUCACGUCCUCUGGAUUGCAAAGUGGACACCUGGGUCAGGUACAUCCACUGGUACCGCCAACAGGAGGGUACGGCACCGAAGAGGCUCCUCCACCUAGACAUGUCCAGGUCCCUUGUGCAACGGGAUUUUGUCCUGAAUGCAAACAAAGUCAAUGCCGAGAAGGGCAAGGAUAGCUACAGCUGCACUCUGUCGGUGCUGAAAGUGGAGAAAAACGAUGAAGGCGUGUACUACUGCGCUGCCUGGGAGCACCACAUGUACCUGGGCUGGGGUGGCUCAUGGUACAAAAAAGUGUUUGGUCCUGGUACAUUGCUCAGGGUUACAGAUAAAAGUCCUGAUGAAGAUAUUUUUCCCAAGCCCACAGUUUUUCUUCCUUCAGUUGCUGAAGUAGAAGUCCAUAACGCUGGAACAUAUCUUUGUCUUCUUGAGGAUUUUUUCCCGGAUGUUAUCAAGGUAGAUUGGCAAGAAAAGGAUGACAAAACAAUCCUGAAAUCCCAGCAGGGAGACACCAUGAAGACUAAGGACACAUACAUGAAAUUCAGCUGGCUGACCGUGACUGGAGCGUCAAUGGAUAAAGAACACAAAUGUAUUGUCAACCACCAAAGGAAUAACAGAGAAGUUGUUCAAGAGAUUCUUUUUCCUUCAAUAAGCAAAGGCUUGAUGGCUGUGACAGAAUCUGAAAUGGACUCCCAGGGACAUUCAGAAACAAAGCAAAACACAGAGGUGGUGACCGUUAGUUUUUUGAAUUCACGAUCUUUCUCACCUGAUCCAGUGGCUGUGGACACCCUGCAGCUGCAACUUGGGAACACAUCUGCCUACUAUACCUACCUCCUCCUCCUCCUGAAGAGCCUGGUCUACUCCAUCAUCAUCGUCAUCUGUCUGCUUGGGAGACCAGCACUCAGUGGCAGUGGGAAGAGUUCCUAACACAUGGUGGCACAAGGUGUCACUUCUAGCCAUUGGCUAGUUUCUCUAAAAGUGUCUGCUGAGGAUUCUUUCUGAGAUUGGGUUAUUUCAGUUCACAUGUGUCUUUUUCUUGUGUCGUUUCUGAGACAGGCUUACAAACCCCUGGGCAAACAGAAGCUUUCACUCUGCAGCUAGAACAAAUUCUGCCAUGACUCCUGGGUGGAGCCAGGGGUCAUCCACAGAGUCUUCUGCACCACCCCUAUUGUUGUCCACCAGCUCCCAGCCACCCAGUCCCCAUGCCUCUGGGUACAACCACCAUACACCUUACAACUGCAUUCCUUGAGCUCUUUAACCAGAUAACUGCCUUGAAGUCUUUAUUUUAUAUACCUGGAAGCCAACAUGCCUAUUACCUGACAUUUGUUUGUUUUUUAUAAUAGUUACAAUAAAAGCAAUCAAGUCUUC